GUGACAAAACGGAUGGCACUGUGAUAGACUGCAUCCAGUUUGCUGAGUAGAGUGUUGGAAGCCAUUUUGUAGAUGACAUCGCCGAAGUCGAGGAUCGGUAGGAUAGUCAGUUUUACUAGGGUAAGCUUGGCAGCGUGGGUGAAGGAGGCUUUGUUGCGGAAUAGAAAGCCGACUCUGGAUUUGAUUUUUGAUUGGAGAUGUUUGAUGUGAGUCUGGAAGGAGAGUUUGCAGUCUAGCCAGACACCUAGGUACUUAUAGAUGUCCACAUAUUCAAGGUUGGAACCAUCAUAGCAACAUAGCAGGUUAGGAGAGUGAGGUUACGGUUCCAGGAAAAACAUCCCCACAGCAUCAUGCUACCAUCACCAUGCUUCACUGUAGGGAUGGUGCUAGGUUUUCUCCAGACAUAACGCUUGGCAUUCAGGCCAAAGAGUUCGAUCUUGUUUUCAUCAGACCAGAGAACCUUGUUUCUCGUGGUCAGUGUCCUUUUUAGGCUCCUUUUUGGCAUACUCCCAAGUGGGCUGUCAUGUUGCUUUCACUGAGGAGUGGCUUCCGUCUGGCCAAUCUACCAUAAAGGCCUGAUUGGUGGAGUGCUGUAGAGAUGGUUGUCUUUCUGGAAGGUUCUUCCAUCUCCACAGAGCUCUGCAGUUCUGUCAGAGUGACCAGUUGAUUCUUGGUUACCUCCCUUGUGUGCGCAGUUUGGAUGGGUGGCCAGCUCUAGGAAGAGUCUUUGGUUCCAAACUUCUUCCAUUUAAGAAUGAUGGAAGUUGCUGUGUUCUUGGGGACCUUCAAUGCUGCAGAAAUGUUUUGGUACCCUUCCCCAGAUCUGUGCCUCGACACAAUCCUGUCUCGUAGCUAUACAGGCAAUUCCUUCAACCUCAUGGCUUGGUUUUUGCUCUGACAUGCACUGUCAGCUAUGGGACCUCAUAUAGACAGGUGUGUGCCUUUCCAAAUCAUGUCCAAUCAAUUGAAUUUACCACAGGUGGACUCCGAGUUGUAGAAACAUCUCAAGGAUGAUCAAUGGAAACAGGAUGCACCUGAGCUCAAUUUUGAGUCUCGUAGCAAAGGGUCUGAAUACUUACGUCAUUGAAAAUAAGAACUUGUUCUUAACUGACUUGCCUGGUUAAAUAAAGGUUAAAAAAAAAAUACAAAUAAAUUUACAGUAAAAUAUAGCAACUAUAUUCUAAUUGCCAACCCAAAAUUCAUGACAAAUUACUGAAUUAUGUUGAGCAUCAAAAUAUCUUGAAUCAUGCAUUCCUGCUUGGAUGUGUUAGAUGAAACAACUUAGUUAUUGAAUAUCUCAGUAGCCUAUUUAUUAUACUUCUUAAUAAAGCAUGGAUGACUGGGACACUGCCACCACCUGUAAAAGUUAUUGACACCAGUGGAAAAUGUUAGUCUGGAGCCCUGUAAUAGUAAUUAACACUUAGGGUAGGUGUUGAUUCAGGGGGAAAUGUUAGUCUGGAGCCCUGUAAUAGUAAUUAACACUUAGGGUAGGUGUUGAUUCAGGGAGCACAAAUGACAGGCACUAAUUUGCAAUAUAGCCUAAGUCAUUAGCUUGGCUUGUAUAACUUAUAUGGCUUAAGCAGACAGACAGAUGGAGAACAAGAAGAAGCACAGAGUGACAGCAGAGAAUAUGCUGAGACAGACAGCACAACAUGGAGGCAACACAUAUGUCUAGAGCAGAGACAGUUAUAGUGGUGAGUUGUAUCUCCAGACAGAGACACAGUUAUAGUGGUGAGUUGUAUCUCCAGACAGAGACACCGUUAUAGUGGUGAGUUGUAUCUCCAGACAGAGACGCAGUUAUAGUGGUGAGUUGUAUCUCCAGACAGAGACGCAGUUAUAGUGGUAUCUCCAGACAGAGACUCAGUUAUAGUGGUGAGGUAUAUCUCCAGACAGAGACGCAGUUAUAGUGGUAUCUCCAGACAGAGACACAGUUAUAGUGGUGAGGUAUAUCUCCAGACAGAGACACAGUUAUAGUGGUGAGUUGUAUCUCCAGACAGAGACACAGUUAUAGUGGUGAGUUGUAUCUCCAGACAGAGACACAGUUAUAGUGGUUACUCCAGACAGAGACACAGUUAUAGUGGUUACUCCAGACAGAGACACAGUUAUAGUGGUAUCUCCAGACAGAGACACUGUUGUAGUGGUGAGUUGUAAUCUCUAGACAGAGACACUGUUGUAGUGGUGAGUUGUAUCUCUAGACAGAGACACUGUUGUAGUGGUGAGUUGUAUCUCUAGACAGAGACACAGUUAUAGUGGUGAGUUGUAUCUCUAGACAGAGACACUGUUGUAGUGGUGAGUUGUAUCUCUAGACAGAGACACAGUUGUAGUGGUGAGUUGUAUCUCUAGACAGAGACACAGUUAUAGUGGUGAGUUGUAUCUCUAGACAGAGACACAGUUGUAGUGGUGAGUUGUAUCUCUAGACAGAGACACAGUUAUAGUGGUGAGUUGUAUCUCUAGACAGAGACACAGUUGUAGUGGUGAGUUGUAUCUCUAGACAGAGACACAGUUAUAGUGGUGAGUUGUAUCUCUAGACAGAGACACUGUUGUAGUGGUGAGUUGUAUCUCUAGACAGAGACACAGUUGUAGUGGUGAGUUGUAUCUCUAGACAGAGACACCGUUGUAGUUGUGAGUUGUAUCUCCAGACAGAGACACUGUUGUAGUGGUGAGUUGUAUCUCUAGACAGAGACACCGUUGUAGUGGUGAGUUGUAUCUCUAGACAGAGACACCGUUGUAGUUGUGAGUUGUAUCUCCAGACAGAGACACAGUUAUAGUGGUUACUCCCUAAAGAGACACAGUUAUAAUGGUGAGUUGUAUCUCCCGACAGAGACACAGUUAUAGUGGUGAGUUGUAUCUCCCGACAGAGACACAGUUAUAGUGGUUACUCCCUAAAGAGACACAGUCAUAGUGGUUACUCCAGACAGAGACACAGUUAUUGUGGUGAGUUGUAUCUCCCGACAGAGACACAGUUAUAGUGGUUACUCCCUAAAGAGACACAGUCAUAGUGGUUACUCCAGACAGAGACACAGUUAUUGUGGUGAGUUGUAGCUCUAGACAGAGACACAGUUGUAGUGGUGAGUUGUAUCUCCAGACAGACACACAGUUGUAGUGGUGAGUUGUAUCUCCAGACCGAGACGCAGUUAUAGUGAUGAGGUGUAUAUCUAGACAGAGACACAGUUAUAGUGGUGAGUUGUAUCUCCAGACCGAGACGCAGUUAUAGUGAUGAGGUGUAUAUCUAGACAGAGACACAGUUAUAGUGGUGAGUUGUGUCUCCAGUGGUGCUUUUACAUAAUGUAUUUGUUUUAAACAUGAUCUGGUUAAAAAGGAGGAGGGUUGGAUCUCGCCAGACACUGGAACAGAAGUGGUUGAGAAACACUGUACUGCACUGCCAAUGUUAUGUGUCAGCACUACUGCCUGUCUAAGUAGGGUGUGUAGGGUCAGGGUGUGUGUAUGGAGGCAUGCACAGUGACGUGGGCUGGUGUGGAUAAAAUGCCAGGGUCCAAUGCAUGUCCCAGUCUGCAGCUGCAACUUUGUGUUUUUUUUUAAUAAGGCUGAUUGAGGAAUUUGGUUUAAGAUAGGGAAGAAUAAUAGAUAUACUGUAGGGUAGAAACUCAACAUGUUUUUAAACGUCCACUUGCCAUCUAUCCAGUCUGUCCAUAGGCCUCUCUGAGCUAUGUAAAUCAAAUUUGGGAAUGUUAACAAAUAAAGUGACAUGAAACCAG